GUUCGUGAAGUGUGUCAGAGUUACUUCAGAGAAUAUCUGAGGUGGCAAGUGUACGCUCUGCUCGCCCUGCAGGAGGUGAGUGACAGCAUGAUCACAUGGCCACAGUCUGAGCUGUGUUUGAUGCCAAACUAAAAAUAUGAGAGGUCACUCACGACGCAUAAAAAAUAAACUAAUGAAACUAAAGUAGAGGAACAAGAGAUUGGUUUAAUAAAAGACGGUAAAGCUGCAUAAGUGCAGGUGUAUAAAAAUAUGAAAGCGUAAAACCCAGUUUACUGGGUCAUUUAAUCUUUCAUAGAAAUGUUUUAUUAAUAAAGAGUUUGACCUUUUGACUGAAAUACUUCUCCUCCCCCUUGCAGGCUGCAGAGGCAUUUCUUGUCAGGCUGUUCUCAGACGCCAACCUGUGUUCCAUUCACGCCAAACGAGUCACCCUGUUCCCCAGAGACAUCCAGCUGGCCCUAAGGAUCAGAGGGGUGAAUAACCUGUAAAUACAUGUCCAUGAAAUCCAUGAUAAAUGA